rnacentral:rRNA from 1 species
GAUGAACGCUGGCGGCGUGCCUAAUACAUGCAAGUCGAGCGAACGGACGAGAAGCUUGCUUCUCUGAUGUUAGCGGCGGACGGGUGAGUAACACGUGGAUAACCUACCUAUAAGACUGGGAUAACUUCGGGAAACCGGAGCUAAUACCGGAUAAUAUUUUGAACCGCAUGGUUCAAAAGUGAAAGACGGUCUUGCUGUCACUUAUAGAUGGAUCCGCGCUGCAUUAGCUAGUUGGUAAGGUAACGGCUUACCAAGGCAACGAUGCAUAGCCGACCUGAGAGGGUGAUCGGCCACACUGGAACUGAGACACGGUCCAGACUCCUACGGGAGGCAGCAGUAGGGAAUCUUCCGCAAUGGGCGAAAGCCUGACGGAGCAACGCCGCGUGAGUGAUGAAGGUCUUCGGAUCGUAAAACUCUGUUAUUAGGGAAGAACAUAUGUGUAAGUAACUGUGCACAUCUUGACGGUACCUAAUCAGAAAGCCACGGCUAACUACGUGCCAGCAGCCGCGGUAAUACGUAGGUGGCAAGCGUUAUCCGGAAUUAUUGGGCGUAAAGCGCGCGUAGGCGGUUUUUUAAGUCUGAUGUGAAAGCCCACGGCUCAACCGUGGAGGGUCAUUGGAAACUGGAAAACUUGAGUGCAGAAGAGGAAAGUGGAAUUCCAUGUGUAGCGGUGAAAUGCGCAGAGAUAUGGAGGAACACCAGUGGCGAAGGCGACUUUCUGGUCUGUAACUGACGCUGAUGUGCGAAAGCGUGGGGAUCAAACAGGAUUAGAUACCCUGGUAGUCCACGCCGUAAACGAUGAGUGCUAAGUGUUAGGGGGUUUCCGCCCCUUAGUGCUGCAGCUAACGCAUUAAGCACUCCGCCUGGGGAGUACGACCGCAAGGUUGAAACUCAAAGGAAUUGACGGGGACCCGCACAAGCGGUGGAGCAUGUGGUUUAAUUCGAAGCAACGCGAAGAACCUUACCAAAUCUUGACAUCCUUUGACAACUCUAGAGAUAGAGCCUUCCCCUUCGGGGGACAAAGUGACAGGUGGUGCAUGGUUGUCGUCAGCUCGUGUCGUGAGAUGUUGGGUUAAGUCCCGCAACGAGCGCAACCCUUAAGCUUAGUUGCCAUCACUAAGUUGGGCACUCUAAGUUGACUGCCGGUGACAAACCGGAGGAAGGUGGGGAUGACGUCAAAUCAUCAUGCCCCUUAUGAUUUGGGCUACACACGUGCUACAAUGGACAAUACAAAGGGCAGCGAAACCGCGAGGUCAAGCAAAUCCCAUAAAGUUGUUCUCAGUUCGGAUUGUAGUCUGCAACUCGACUACAUGAAGCUGGAAUCGCUAGUAAUCGUAGAUCAGCAUGCUACGGUGAAUACGUUCCCGGGUCU